rnacentral:rRNA from 1 species
CGAACGGGUGAGUAUAAUGUAGCGUAUCUGCCUUUUGGUUUGGAAUAACACGAGGAAACUUGUGCUAAUACCGGAUAAGCCUUCACAGGGAAAGUUUUAACGCCAAAAGAUGAGCCUGCACUUGAUUAGCUAGUUGGUAAGGUAAUGGCUUACCAAGGCUACGAUCAAUAGCUGUUCUUAGAGGAAGAUCAGCCACAUUGGGACUGAGACACGGCCCAAACUCCUACGGGAGGCAGCAGUGGGGAAUCUUGCACAAUGGGGGAAACCCUGAUGCAGCGAUGCCGCGUGAGUGAAGAAGGCCUUUGGGUUGUAAAGCUCUUUCGUCGGGGAAGAAAAUGACUGUACCCGAAUAAGAAGGUCCGGCUAACUUCGUGCCAGCAGCCGCGGUAAUACGAAGGGACCUAGCGUAGUUCGGAAUUACUGGGCUUAAAGAGCACGUAGGUGGUUAAAAAAGUUGGUGGUGAAAUCCCAAGGCUUAACCUUGGAACUGCCACCAAAACUUUUUAGCUAGAGUAUGAUUGAGGUAAGCGGAAUUUCUAGUGUAGAGGUGAAAUUCGUAGAUAUUAGAAAGAACACCAAUUGCGAAGGCAGCUUUCUGGAUCAUUACUGACACUGAGGUGCGAAAGCAUGGGGUAGCGAAGAGGAUUAUAUACCCUCGUAGUCCAUGCCCGUAAACGAUG